CGUGCAGGAUGAAGGCCUUCGGGUUGUAAACUGCUUNUUGUACGGAACGAAACGGCGAGCUCUAAUACAGUUUGCUAAUGACGGUACCGUAAGAAUAAGCACCGGCUAACUACGUGCCAGCAGCCGCGGUAAUACGUAGGGUGCGAGCGUUAAUCGGAAUUACUGGGCGUAAAGCGUGCGCAGGCGGUGAUGUAAGACAGAUGUGAAAUCCCCGGGCUCAACCUGGGACCUGCAUUUGUGACUGCAUCGCUAGAGUACGGUAGAGGGGGAUGGAAUUCCGCGUGUAGCAGUGAAAUGCGUAGAUAUGCGGAGGAACACCGAUGGCGAAGGCAAUCCCCUGGACCUGUACUGACGCUCAUGCACGAAAGCGUGGGGAGCAAACAGGAUUAGAUACCCUGGUAGUCCACGCCCUAAACGAUGUCAACUGGU
rnacentral:rRNA from 1 species